CAGAUGCAGCAUUGUAGUAUGACUACCUAUGACUACCUAUGUACAGACACCAAAGAUUAGGCAGGGUGCAUAAACAAGUCUUUGAAUCCAUUCCAGAUCGAGACUGAUUCUGCAACUCACAAACUGCAGCCUGUGGAUUGGGUGGUGAUAAAGAGGCAUGUGAGGAAAGGACUUGAACCACGCUUUGACGGUCCAUUCCAAGUGCUCCUGCCUACGGCUACCUCAGUGAAACACGUGGAUACACGCCAGUCACUGUAAAUAAGUCAUUUCGACUGAUCCACCGACAUAAAGCUGUUCUUAUCCUUUACCAUUGUAUGCUCUGUUCAGAUAUGCUACUCUGAUUUGAGGCUAGAAGAUAAUAAUGCAUGGCAGAGAAAUAUAUGGAUGCAGAUAGCAAAGGCUUUUAAUUUAAACUCCUCUUUAACUCAACCCUCUCAUCAGUACUGAAAAUGCCAUACAAUCUUGUCUUAUAGCUGUCCCUACCACCAUCUCACUCUUGAGGAAGUACCUACAUACCCAUAGACCCCAUAAAUCUCUACAACUACAUUCUUAUGCUUUCAACCCACUGGUAGGCAAGCCUCCCUAGCCCUGAAGACAAUUAAUGACAGCCGCUGAACUGUGUUGGUCUUUUUCAUGUAAUUGUUCAAGAAACCCUAAUACUGAAUCCCUGUUUUGCUACACAUGGUGGAAAAAUACCACUAAUUGUAGAGCCCUGAGCACCACUAUGAAAUGUACCAAAACUUACCAAGUUAUGAGUCACCACCACCAUGUGUAUCUCCCUAAAGGAUGAACUUUCUCCUGUGGAAAUAUUACUUAUGCUUAUGUUCCAGGUUAUUACAGGAGGUCCCUGUGCAAUCUCAUGCUUAACCAUGACCAUGUUUUCCAAAUCUGACCUGAUCUCUGAAACCACCCAGCUACACAAACCGCAGAGAGACAGGAGAGAUGUCAAAAACACCCUUACUUCAGAUUGUAACCCUGAAAUCACUCUUAUCUAAAUCUGAAUACUCUGUCCUUGCGUGCUCUAUGGUAGGAGUCCCAGGCUUAGCACUGUAUAAUACCCAAGUAAUUAAUGCUGUAGCCUGUUCCCAGGCCCUAGAAGAGCUAGUUAUGGACACCCAGGCAAAUAAGAAGGCAAUCCUUGAGAAUAGAGCAGCAAUUGACUACUUACUAAUGAAACACGACUUAGGCUGUGAAGCUAUUGAAGGUAUGUGCUGUUUUAACCUAUCUGAUCACGGCACUAUGAUCCAUAAACAUAGAAAAGAUUUUCAUAACUAAGUACAGGAUAUCAAACAAGAUACUGUCUUCUUUGGGUAUUGGACAUUUGGGCUACGAACAUGGUUGACUUUGCUAAUUAAGAAAAUUUAGUACUUUUUGCUAUUAGCUGUAUUUGUUAUUAUGGCAAUUUUUCUAACCUUUAAGUUCUUCUCAUGCCUACUAACCUCUAUAUGUAAAAACAAAUCUACUGUUGGUCAUACCUUAACUUACCUUCCAGCUCCGAAUUCGGAAGGUUUUUACAAUGUUACCUCGCCUAACAAAUGAAGGAACUCUCCUCAGCUGUUUCUGGUGGUCUCUCAGUCCAAGGGAACCGUGGUGAAGAAAUAAUGAAAGUCCCACAGGCUUUGGCCAACACGCGUCUGGUGCCUGAAUUCACCCUCCUUUAAG